UGGGGAAUAUUGGGCAAUGGAGGGAACUCUGACCCAGCGACGCCGCGUGCGGGAUGAAGGCCUUCGGGUUGUAAACCGCUUUCAGCAGGGAAGAAGCGAAAGUGACGGUACCUGCAGAAGAAGCACCGGCUAACUAUGUGCCAGCAGCCGCGGUAAUACAUAGGGUGCAAGCGUUGUCCGGAAUUAUUGGGCGUAAAGAGCUCGUAGGUGGUUCGUCACGUCGGAUGUGAAAAUCUGGGGCUUAACCCCAGACCUGCAUUCGAUACGGGCGAGCUAGAGUGUGGUAGGGGAGACUGGAAUUCCUGGUGUAGCGGUGGAAUGCGCAGAUAUCAGGAGGAACACCAAUGGCGAAGGCAGGUCUCUGGGCCAUUACUGACACUGAGGAGCGAAAGCGUGGGGAGCGAACAGGAUUAGAUACCCCCGUAGUCCCUGAGCGGGCUGGCAAGGCGCAU
rnacentral:rRNA from 1 species